AACGCACGAGACCUGCGGACCUGCGGAAGGAUCAUUACCGAGUUAUCCAACUCCCAACCCCUGUGAAUUAUACCUUUAAUUGUUGCUUCGGCGGGACUUCGCGCCCGCCGGGGACCCGAACCUUCUGAAUUUUUAAUAAGUAUCUUCUGAGUGGUUAAAAAAAAAUGAAUCAAAACUUUUAACAACGGAUCUCU
rnacentral:misc_RNA from 1 species